ACUUUUAAAGGAAACAGUAAUCCAA
rnacentral:tRNA from 1 species